GAUGAACGCUGGCGGCGUGCCUAAUACAUGCAAGUCGAGCGAACGGACGAGAAGCUUGCUUCUCUGAUGUUAGCGGCGGACGGGUGAGUAACACGUGGAUAACCUACCUAUAAGACUGGGAUAACUUCGGGAAACCGGAGCUAAUACCGGAUAAUAUUUUGAACCGCAUGGUUCAAAAGUGAAAGACGGUCUUGCUGUCACUUAUAGAUGGAUCCGCGCUGCAUUAGCUAGUUGGUAAGGUAACGGCUUACCAAGGCAACGAUGCAUAGCCGACCUGAGAGGGUGAUCGGCCACACUGGAACUGAGACACGGUCCAGACUCCUACGGGAGGCAGCAGUAGGGAAACUUCCGCAAUGGGCGAAGGCCUGACGGAGCAACGCCGCGUGAGUGAUGAAGGUCUUCGGAUCGUAAAACUCUGUUAUUAGGGAAGAACAUAUGUGUAAGUAACUGUGCACAUCUUGACGGUACCUAAUCAGAAAGCCACGGCUAACUACGUG
rnacentral:rRNA from 1 species